rnacentral:rRNA from 1 species
UACAGAGGGGGCAAGGCGUUGUUCGGAAUUACUGGGCGUAAAGGGCGCGUAGGCGGCCUGUUAAGUCGAACGUGAAAUCCCCGGGCUCAACCCGGGAACUGCGUCCGAUACUGGCAGGCUUGAAUCCGGGAGAGGGAUGCGGAAUUCCAGGUGGUAGCGGUGAAAUGCGUAGAUAUCUGGAGGAACACCGGUGGCGAAGGCGGCAUCCUGGACCGGCAUUGACGCUGAGGCGCGAAAGCGUGGGGAG